GUGGCUAGAAUUCUCCAGAUAGUUUGGGAAGGUAGAUAACUUGAACCCUGAUCUAAGGAAAAGGUAAAAAUUGAAACAUUUUCCUAUGGGGCAUUUCGGUAGCAAAAGUCAAAAAGAUAGCCAUACAUUAGUUCUGUUUUCUACAGACAAAAGGCACAGUGUUUCUGGAAAAAGGACUGGUUUAGUUUGGUUUUGUUCCAAUAAGUCUCCUUACAUAAUAAUCUCUGAGAAACAUAGUAUCAGAUGUGGGAAGCCUCGAAUGGUGCCUCCAAGAACUUCUGGUCAAGCUGCUAGAACCUGUCUGGGUCUCUCGUCACAUCCUCCUUCCCAGUUGUGUAUAGCCACCAGCAAGAGGGAAUGUUUCGGGCAUAUAUUCUAUAGUACCUCUAAAUUGAAGUCUAAGAAGUAAACAAAUGGCACUUUAUAA
rnacentral:lncRNA from 1 species